rnacentral:lncRNA from 1 species
GUUGUGUAUAGUCUUCCAAGCGUCACAUUUUUGGGUUUUACUCAAUGUUUUUGAGAAUGCUCCAAAUAAUCCUUAUUUUCUUUAAUUUCUUUCAAAAUAGUAACUUUGUUGGUCAUUGUGACGGAUUUUGUCAUUUUCAACUAAAGAGAGCUUACAAUACAAAAACAAAUAAACCGAAAUUGAAAACGAAAUUAGCCAUAUGUGAGUCAUGUACAGUAUUGCGCAUGACACAAACACAUCGGAAAUUGAACUUUCGAAUUACAAGUGUAAAGUUAUGACAAGUUUGUAGUACUUGUAAUUCACAAGUUCGAUAUUUUUCGUGAAACGCUAGUUCUUAACAACUUGUAACUACAAGUGCUUGUAAUUGACAAAUUGUAAAUUUGUAAACUUGUACUUUCGUGAAACAUGCCCCAGGAGUGUAUGAAAUUCCAGUGUAUUAUUGAGUAGGAGAUUAAAAG